rnacentral:rRNA from 1 species
UACGGAGGGUGCGAGCGUUGUCCGGAAUCAUUGGGCGUAAAGGGCGCGUAGGUGGCCCGCUCAGCGUGCGGUGAAAGCUCGGGGCUCAACCCCGAGUCGGCCGUGCGAACUGGUGGGCUGGAGCACUGUAGAGGCAGGCGGAAUUCCGGGUGUAGCGGUGGAAUGCGUAGAGAUCCGGAAGAACACCGGUGGCGAAGGCGGGUCUCUGGGCCGAUACUGACGCUGAGGAGCGAAAGCGUGGGGAGCGAACAGG